UAAGCGACGGACUCCAAUCGC
rnacentral:miRNA from 1 species